rnacentral:tRNA from 1 species
GAGCUCAAUCGGUAGAGCGUGUGGCUCUUAACCUCAAGGUUGCGGGUUCGAUCCCCGCCUCG